GAGUGGAAAAUCCCGCCCAUCCUCAGAUGCAAGAAUCAUCAGCAAUGGGCCUUCAAGGCGUCAGUCUCUUGGUGGAGCUGAGAACUUCUCUAGAGCAUCCUUUAAUGGCUAUCUAUCUAGGACAAAAUCGAAUUUACAAUCUGGUUUCAACCGUUCCAACACUGCUACUGCAAUAUUGAAACAAGCCAAGAGUUCAUCUAGAUCGUUUGAUGGUGGUAGUAGAUUGCUAGACAGAGAUACGCUAGUACCAUAUGCAACUGGGAAAGAUAACACAAACAGUGCCAGUGAUCAGACUCAGAUGGAUGAGACAAUUGGUAGACAUGAGGAGAGGGCAAAUGGAUCUUUGGCUGAACAAUCCAGGACAGAGCAUGAAGAUUAUGUUUCUGGAGUGCUGUAUGAUAUGUUACAGAAAGAGGUCGUAUCUUUGAGGAAAGCUUGCCAUGAGAAAGAUCAAACCCUCAAGGACAAGGAUGAUGCAAUUGAGGUUAGCUAGUAGGACCUAUCUCAUUAAUUUUGCAACCUCUCUCCACUCUUGUUUUGCUCUUAAUUUGUUUCUUGUGUGGAAUCAAGUAGAUGUUGGCAAAGAAGGUGGAUACACUUAACAAAGCAAUGGAGGUUGAGGCCAAAAAGAUGCAGAGAGAAGUAGCUGCCAUGGAAAAAGAAGUCUCUGCUAUGCGUGUCACCAAGGAGCUUGAUCAGAGGGCACGGCGCUCAAGUGCUCUCCGAGGGGUUGUAAAUAGCUCUCAUACACUUUCUUCUAGG
rnacentral:lncRNA from 1 species